rnacentral:lncRNA from 1 species
CCGCAGGCGGAAUGGACUGCUGUUGCGGCUUGAACCGGUGGUUGACGGCUAGAAUUGGGUUUGAAGACCGGUCGGUUCGAUGAUGGUGAUGAAGACGGAUUGCAGACGAUGGCAAUGAAGAAGGACACGAUAUGGACAUAUGGUGAUGUGAAGACGUCGAUUUUAAUAUGAAAAAUCUUAAUGUGUAAAGCUAAAUAAAGUCAAUAUAUGAAAAUAAAGAAAGAUCAAAGAGAAAGAAAUCGCAUGGGAGAAAGCAAAAAAAAACUCUGUAUUUUUUGUUAACACAUUGUAAGCAAAAAUAAUAAUGAUGGUAAUAUAAUAGAAUAGAAUAUGACUUAAAUAUUACUUAAAAUUUGAUUCGUUAAAUAAUUUUAUGUUUGAACUUC